UAUAAAAAUGAUAUUAUUUUAUAAUUAACAAAAGUACAACCAACAAUCAAGCAAAAUUACAUCCUUUACAAAAAAAAAAUCCUUUUUUAAUCUAAUUAUCUGAAUCGCUCGUAUAUCUCGAUAUUUAGCAUCGAAUUUCACAAUUAUUUUCUAGGGACCUCCAACUAUCAUUACAUAACCAUAAAUUUCAACAGCUUUCAUUUCUUACAUUAUUGUCCUCAACACAUGCAGCAAUUGUGUCAUGAAUACUUUUAAUCAAAGCUUCAAUCUAAUUCCACGCCUAGCUUAUUUCAAUCACUUUAAACUCAUCUUUAUCAACGAUCCGUAGUACUUUCCCAAGCAUUUCUCCUUUCAAUCUUAACAUAUAUUGAACCAUAAUCUAGACUUACUUUCCUGGUGGGAGCUCGAUGCAUGGAGAAUAAGAUGAUCAAGAUUUCUUUUUCUCUUUCUUUUGGGGAACAGAAAGAUGAACCAAUUCUUUCAUCUUUUAUAAUUAAAUUCAAUAAUCCUUUAAUGCCCACAUACUUGGUCUAAAUUGAUGGAUAGAAUCGAGCUUAUCCACUAAGCUUGCUUUUAAUAGUGGUUAAUUAUGCUUAGGUCCUUGGUUUAAUACUUUACCCAAUCCUUAAAUUUUAGCUCCCUUUCAAUAUAGUCCCUACUCAUUAAUUUACAAAAUACUUAAAUAAUUCUUUUUGCUAAAUCUCAAUUUAAAAAAUUCAAUUAGCUGGAUUCAUGAAAUAGGGUGAUUGGAUCAUUACAGUUCCCGUUUCUCACUCUUAGAUAUACUUAAUUCAUAAUUUUAAUUUUGGUGAAACUAAAUAGAAUUAGUUAAUGGAGAUAGUCAUGCUUAGCCACUAAUUAUAACAACCAUAGUUAAAUUGUUUUUAUCACCUGUCACAUUUAUUUUUUAUUUUUGGACAAAAAUAAAAAUAAAAACCUAAAUGGUAUUUAUAAUAAUACCAAGAGGUGGAGGGCAUGGAGGAGGCGACACCCAAAUUUUUUUUUACACAAUCACUAAAACAUCAUUACGCAAUGAUAUGUUUUUUUUUUAAAUAUAUAUUUUUUAAAAGUGGAGGGUGUGAGAGAGCCAGCACUAAUAUUUUAUUGUGUAGUUAUUUUUAUUUUUAUUUAUUUUACAAAUGAUUUUGUUGAUUUAAUUGGUUUUUUUUAUUUUGUAUAAAGGGUGUGUUUGAAAGAAAGAUAUGUAUGAUUCUAUUUCUUUUAAACAUUUUUUUUCUUAUUUUUUAAUUUAAAUGUAAAUAACAGAAACGAUAUUAAUUUAAUUUUUGUUGAUAGUUUAUCUUGUAGAGAGGGUGUUCUGAAGAAACGGAGCAGGUAUGUUUUUGUUUUAUUGAACAUUAAUUUUUUGUUGUUUAUGUCCUUAAUACAUAGUCCUAUUGUGUUGAAAUUUUUAGAGAGUUUUUUUUUAUUCAAUAUAUAAUAAUCAAUCCAACCACUCGCUGAAUCAAUUUUAAAAUAAAAAAAAUCUGAAAAAUAUAGAGUAAAAAGUCAGAUCUCUUCCCGUUUUCCUUUUUAUUUGCUUAACAUUCUUUUAAUUAUAUUAAAUGUUGUACAGUUCUUUUAUUGAUAAUAGACACUAUGUUAAAAAAAUAGAUAUAAUGAAAUUAUUAAAAAAUAUCUAUUUAUUUUGGCUUUUAAUAAAUAUAUUUUAUUGGAAUUCAUCUGUUAUUAAUAAUCUUAAUAAUAACUCAUAAAAGAUAAAACCCUAAAGCCAGAAGAUAAAUAGAGUAAAAAAACAAAAAAAGAGAACGAGAUCUCAUCUCGGUGGCUGACGGCAGCAGGGACAGUGGAAGAAGCAGAUCUCGAUAGCAGAACAAACAGAAACGAUGGCUGAAGGGUAAAGCAGAUAUAGGACAAACGGUGGAAGGCUGAGG
rnacentral:lncRNA from 1 species